AUUGAACGCUGGCGGCAGGCCUAACACAUGCAAGUCGAGCGGAUGAAGAGAGCUUGCUCUCUGAUUUAGCGGCGGACGGGUGAGUAAUGCCUAGGAAUCUGCCUGGUAGUGGGGGAUAACGUUCCGAAAGGAACGCUAAUACCGCAUACGUCCUACGGGAGAAAGCAGGGGACCUUCGGGCCUUGCGCUAUCAGAUGAGCCUAGGUCGGAUUAGCUAGUUGGUGAGAUAAUGGCUCACCAAGGCGACGAUCCGUAACUGGUUUGAGAGGAUGAUCAGUCACACUGGAACUGAGACACGGUCCAGACUCCUACGGGAGGCAGCAGUGGGGAGUAUUGGACAAUGGGCGAAAGCCUGAUCCAGCCAUGCCGCGUGUGUGAAGAAGGUCUUCGGAUUGUAAAGCACUUUAAGUUGGGAGGAAGGGCAGUAAGUUAAUACCUUGCUGUUUUGACGUUACCGACAGAAUAAGCACCGGCUAACUUCGUGCCAGCCGCCGCUGUAAUAC
rnacentral:rRNA from 1 species